UUGAAGUCUUUUUUGAGCGAUUGAUAAGAUUUUAUUCGUUAAGUUCUACUUUGUUGUUUUCGUUUGACGAUUGUUCUUGUAAAGUUUGUGAGUUUGGUGCUUUGAAUCAGCAACAGGAUUAUAAUUAGUAUACUGAUAACCUCUCAUAACAACAGAACUCCCUAACCAGGAAAAUUAAUAACUAUAAUGAAUAGUGAAAUGACCAAUGAAUGGGAAGUAGUCGGCAAACAGAAGAAGCCCCGUAAAACCGGUGGGGACAAAAUAAAUGGCAUCGCAGCAAGCAAAGGCGGAAUUCUUAAAAUAGAAGAUGCUGACACAAUGGAUCAAAUCCGGUCGCUGUACGCCAAUGUGAAGGACGAUGUGCUGUUCGAUUCUAAACAAGUUACAGGGGAGAGAAAGAAUAACCAUAAUACAAAUGGGAAACAGCAAUCUCACGACCGCAAACGAUCACCUGGUAGGGGUCAGCAGCAGCAGAACCAGAAUAAGAACAAACAAAAAAUAGAAGCAGAAAGGAAACAACAAGCAAAGCCUAAAUACAAGGAUAUAGAGGCCGCUUUAAAGGCGAUCAUCAUCAGUGACCUUCGUGCCCACCUAUGGGCGGUGAACGAAAGCUUUAAAGACAAUCAUUUAUUAUUACUGAAGGCAAUAACGGCAUUUCUGAACGAGCAUCUCCGCGUUGAAAAUGUAGAUCCGAUAUUUGCGGACAAAUCGCUUUCGUAUCCAUAUAGCGUGAUUCCUCAUGAGCUGAAAGCUAUUAUUGAUCAAUCCAUUUCGUCGGCUAGUACACAGAUUUUGCAGUUUUUCUACGAUCUCUCGCUGUCCAAUUUGGCUGAAGAUAUGAACAAAAAUCUUCCCCACAUGGGGCACAAAAUUUUACUGCAAGCUGUUGCCCUUCACCAACCGCAAAUAUGUGUCAACAAUCUAGCUCGAAAUGCGAUAAUUCGAAAUUCGUUCCAGAACCGUAGCAACAUUGGUCUCAGUUUGCUGUGGGCCCUUGGACAGGGUGGUUUUCGUGAUCUCAACGUUGGACUGAAAAUCUGGCAGGAUUUUAUGGUGCCAGUUAUUGAACUCAAGACCUAUAGCAAAUACGUUUACGAAUAUAUUCACAAGAUUCUAUUCAAACACAAAACAACAAAACUAGAAAUUUUAUCCAGUGAUUUUCUUACCAUCCUGAGCUCACUGACGACACAAACCAAAGCCAGCCGAGACGUUAGCAAACUCCUAGAGGAAGCUUCCAAACUGCUUGUCGAGCGCUAUGUUUUUAGUGCACCUAAAACUUCCAGCACGUUCACGACAAUGUUCAAAAAUAUACCAUUCAUUGCGAAACCAGAACUGAUCUACUUUGGACUGAUACUGUGCCUAAUUGAGGAUCCCGAGUGUUGGACCGCCUGGCGAGGUCUUUACCGUAAGAAUAUACAGCAGACGGUUGAAUUGCUUAAUCACAUCGAAAAUUCAACGCCUGUGUUGUCGCUGAAAUUAAUCAACGAUCGACUGUUUCAUCAGUUUCUGGAUGAUAUCCAGGCAAUAAAUGUUGAACUGGGACAAAGCAGGAAGAGAGUGGAAGGAUUAAAGGCAUCUACAACCAUAUUACAGCAAGUACAGGAAAAAGUCGCCUCCAAGAAGAACAAAUCCGCCAAGGUCGCCAAAACGCGUUCGUCCGGUCCCGUCCGGGUAUGCUGUAGUGUCGUGCUGGGUACAUUCCUGCUUUUCGGUCUGACCGGUGCCCUGAUCGGUUUCGACACGUUACAAGCAGGUGGCAUGUUCGAGAGGUCGAACACCGGUCAGCUGCUGAAGCAGGCGGGCCUGCUUCCAGCAGUAGAGGACGCGUGGACCUGUACGCUCAAGCAUAGCGCACGGGGUUACAAGUGGGCUGAGGAAAAUAUACCUAUCUACUAUCAGAUUGCCAGCAAAGCCAUUGGACCAUACAUUGAGUUUUCGAUAGACUUCAGCAAAAUUCUCUGGAAUGGGACCAAAAAGGGCUUUGCCAGCUUGAAACUGCUGGUCGAGCAAAAAUCACCAGUGGUCGUUGAUUUCAUUGAACAGUACGCACCGGGACUGCCGAAGAAGAUUGGUGACUUUGCCUGUUCAACGUGGACGACCGUCAGCACGGUGUCGGUGAGAACCUUCCAGCAGGGCUGUGAUUUCCUCAAAGCGAAGGUGUUUAUGCCCGAAUAUUCCCCACCGCCACUAGAAGAAAUGGAACCGUAAGUCCCGAAGUGACUCCAAAGAGUGGUGUGUAACAGCGUGAAGCGGCUUCUUCAGAACUAAUAGAAACUGUCAAAUAAUUGUGUUGAAUAAAAUAAGUAAAGUGGUCAGCUUUCGCCGGAAAACUUGGGGAAAGCCUUCAACAGUACCCAACUGGCUGCUGCUCAGUACUAUAGUUGGUUCUACGAGCAGGUCGACUUCUACGCUAAGAUCAAGUAAGAAUGUGAACUGGAUGCCCGUGUGUUAGUAAGCUGUUAUAGGCUAAGCGUGGAAAAGUGUGCAUACGUACGAAUAAAGUGAACUAAUGAGACAACAAAACAAAUAUGAAAAUUGAAAAAAAAAUAAACGUAAUGAAUCAUCCGAAAGACUAACUGGUGGCAUCUCCCGUCAUCAAAGUGGUAGCAGCAGCAACAAGCACUGAAAAUCUGAAGUGGAGCUUACAGUCCCCACAGCCAGCCCAACUCAUUUUUUAAAAAAAUACUACAUAUGCAGACGGUAGCGGUUUGGUAGUUCGAUCGAAUGGAGUACAUGAUUUAGAGUAAAGAUUUAUUAGCAGUAACUAAAGUAAUUAUUCUUUUUGCUGUGGGGAUGAUAACAGCAAAUGAAAAAGGGAAGAAGUUAUCACAAUGCAACUCUCGGAGAACAGCAAUACAAAGCGUUGAUGAUAUAGUUUAUUUCGUAGCAAGUAACGAAUGUAGUCGGUGGCAGGAAACAAAAAAGUGAAAGCUAGAAAGUGAGCAUUUGAGUAAUUUCAACGGAAACUUGUAUGAGUACAUUUGAUAGACUUUUUAAAUAAUAUUUUACUAAUUUAAUGUUUUUGUUUAUUUGCUAAGGCUCCAAUAACUGUUUGAUGAUGAUGGAAAGAAAAUGUAAAAAAGAUUAUAAAAUGACGUCGUUGUUUUUUUCAUUGUUUAUCAUA